GAUGAAGAACGUAGCGAAAUGCGAUACGUAAUGUGAAUUGCAGAAUUCAGUGAAUCAUCGAAUCUUUGAACGCAUAUUGCGCUCUCUGGUAUUCCGGAGAGCAUGCUUGUCUGAGUAUCAGUAAACACCUCAACUCCCUUUUCUUUUUUGAAAUUGGAGCUGGACUUGAGUGAUCCCAACGCUUUCUUCCAAGAAAGUGGCGGGUUGCUUGAAAUGCAGGUGCAGCUGAACUUUUCUCUGAGCUAUAAGCAUAUCUAUUUAGUCUGCCUAAAAAACAGAUUAUUACCUUUGCUGCAGCUAACAUAAAGGAGACUAGUUCUUGUGCUGACUGAUGCAGGAUUCACAGAGACAGCUUCGGCUGACUUUGUAAACUCGAUCUCAAAUCAAGUAAGACUACCCGCUGAACUUAAGCAUAUCAAUAAGCGGAGGA
rnacentral:misc_RNA from 1 species